AAAAAAACAUACUAGUAUAUUGCUUGAAAUUGGCAAAAAUAAACACUCCCAUAGAAUUAUGCUUCGUUGGCGAUUGGACAAGCGAACCAGUAACCGUUUCUCUUCUUUGGCCUCCAUCUUUUCCGAUUGGUUUAGGGCCGCCGGCACUUGUCGGCGGUUCCAUUUCUUCUCUUUAGUUUGAUUUUGCUUUUUGUUUUAAUCUAAAUAAAGUAUUUGCUCUCAAUUCUGGAUUUCUAAAUCCAAACUUCUUCUUCUUAUUUGUAGUUUUAAUUCACUUUUAGAUCUGUAAGAAAAAUCAGUUAUGUAUAGAUUCCAAGUGUUUCUGUUCAACAUACAUGGUGGAAGAUCUAUGGAUGUGAACAUGAGCCUUUGGAUGUGUUGGGUUUCUUACCGAAAUGCAAUUUCCGACGGCUACGCCGUAUUUGUUCCGACAUAAUUUGUCGAUUAUAUGUCAACUCUAACAUGUAUUGUUAGUUUUGUGUUAGUUUCCGGUGGUCAUCGCGAUCGUUUGGUGGCUUUCCGAUGUUUGAAACAAAUCUUCAUAGAUUUGUUGUGGAAACGGCGACCACCUUGGAAACCACCAUGGAAUCAAAUCAUAAGAACCUUGUAUUUCUGGUCUUUGAAGAACGUCAACAAGAGAAUCGAGAUCAUGGAUUUAUCAUGGGCAACAUUUACAACCAAAACAAUGUCAUUGUCUCACGCGGGUGAUGGAAAUAAUUAUAUGGUUAGCGAUGUAACUGAUGGAUCGCAACCUUUUGAUUUUCGAAAAGUGUGUUGGAGUUUCAUUAAAGAGAUGAUAGCCAAACAAGAAGAUCAAAUUAGACCGAAGACGAAGACGAUCAAGGAAAAUAACAGAUUGAUAACCCUGUUAGCGUGUAAGGCUUACCUACGAAAGGAAGCAAUGUGUAAUUUCACUUUUUCGAUUAUUUCGUUCAACUUAAGUAUUGGUUGUAUGGAUUGUAGAGCUCUCACUUAUAUGCUUAUUGGUAUAUUUGUAAUCUCUUUUUAAGUUUAAUAAAUAAGAC